AUUGAACGCUGGCGGCAGGCCUAACACAUGCAAGUCGAGCGGAUGAAGGGAGCUUGCUCCUGGAUUCAGCGGCGGACGGGUGAGUAAUGCCUAGGAAUCUGCCUGGUAGUGGGGGAUAACGUCCGGAAACGGGCGCUAAUACCGCAUACGUCCUGAGGGAGAAAGUGGGGGAUCUUCGGACCUCACGCUAUCAGAUGAGCCUAGGUCGGACUAGCUAGUUGGUGGGGUAAAGGCCUACCAAGGCGACGAUCCGUAACUGGUCUGAGAGGAUGAUCAGUCACACUGGAACUGAGACACGGUCCAGACUCCUACGGGAGGCAGCAGUGGGGAAUAUUGGACAAUGGGCGAAAGCCUGAUCCAGCCAUGCCGCGUGUGUGAAGAAGGUCUUCGGAUUGUAAAGCACUUUAAGUUGGGAGGAAGGGCAGUAAGUUAAUACCUUGCUGUUUUGACGUUACCAACAGAAUAAGCACCGGCUAACUUCG
rnacentral:rRNA from 1 species